rnacentral:ribozyme from 13 species
GAAAAAAGAGAGAAACAAAAAAGAGAAAGGAGAAAAAGAAAAAAAUGAUUGGGGUUGUCGAGGUGGUGGCGAUAUUGGCGGUUUUCUUG